rnacentral:rRNA from 1 species
CAGAUGUGAAAUCCCCGAGCUUAACUCGGGAAUGGCAUAUGUGACUGCUCGACUAGAGUGUGUCAGAGGGAGGUGGAAUUCCACGUGUAGCAGUGAAAUGCGUAGAUAUGUGGAAGAACACCGAUGGCGAAGGCAGCCUCCUGGGACAUAACUGACGCUCAGGCACGAAAGCGUGGGGAGCAAACAGGAUUAGAUACCCUGGUAGUCCACGCCGUAAACGAUGAUAACUAGUUGUUGGGAAGUAAAAUUCUCAGUAACGCAGCCAACGCGAGAAGUUAACCGCCUGGGAAGUACGGUCGCAAGACUAAAACUCAAAGGAAUUGACGGGGACCCGCACAAGCGGUGGAUGAUGUGGAUUAAUUCGAUGCAACGCGAAAAACCUUACCUACCCUUGACAUGUCAGGAAGCUCUUGUAAUGAGAGCGUGCCCGCAAGGGAGCCUGAACACAGGUGCUGCAUGGUUGUCGUCAGCUCGUGUCGUGAGAUGUUGGGUUAAGUCCCGCAACGAGCGCAACCCUUGUCACUAGUUGCUACGAAAGGGCACUCUAGUGAGACUGCCGGUGACAAACCGGAGGAAGGUGGGGAUGACGUCAAGUCAUCAUGCCCCUUAUGGGUAGGGCUACACACGUCAUACAAUGGUCGGAACAGAGGGCAGCGAAGUCGUGAGACGGAGCCAAUCCCAGAAAACCGAUCGUAGUCCGGAUUGCAGUCUGCAACUCGACUGCAUGAAGUCGGAAUCGCUAGUAAUCGCGGA